GAUGAAGAACGUAGCGAAAUGCGAUACUUGGUGUGAAUUGCAGAAUCCCGUGAACCAUCGAGUCUUUGAACGCAAGUUGCGCCCGAAGCCAUCAGGUUGAGGGCACGUCUGCCUGGGCGUCACAUAUCGUUGCCCAAUGCCUAUUGCAGUGCAAUAGGAAUUUCUAGGGCGAAUGAUGGCUUCCCGUGAGCGUUGUUGCCUCGCGGUUGGUUGAAAAUCGAGUCCUUGGUAGGGUGUGCCAUGGUAGAUGGUGGUCGAGUUAGAACGAUACCGAUCAUGUGCAUGCUCCCCAAAAUAUGGCCUCUAUGACCCACACGCGUCUUUUGACGCUCAUGACGAGACCUCAGGUCAGGCGGGGCUACCAGCUGAAUUUAAGCAUAUCAAUAAGCGGAGG
rnacentral:misc_RNA from 1 species